CCUACGGGUGGCAGCAGUGGGGAAUAUUGCGCAAUGGGCGAAAGCCUGACGCAGCGACGCCGCGUGAGGGAUGAAGGUCUUCGGAUCUUAAACCUCUGUCAGCAGGGAAGAACGGUCACUGUGCUAAUCAGCAGUGAAUUGACGGUACCUGCAAAGGAAGCACCGGCUAACUCCGUGCCAGCAGCCGCGGUAAUACGGAGGGUGCGAGCUUUAAUCGGAAUUGCUUGGCGUAAAGCGGUCGUAUGCGGUAUGGCAAGUCAAGGGUGAAAUCCCCUAGCUCAACGUGGGAACUGCCUUUGAAACUGGCGAACUUGAGUGUGUGAGAGGAUAGUGGAAUUCCAGGUGGAGGAGGGAAAUCCGUAGAUAUCUGGAGGAACAGCAGUGGCGAAGGCGACUAUCUGGCACAUAACUGACGCUGAGGAGCGAAAGCGUGGGUAGCAAACAGGAUUAGAUACCCCAGUAGUC
rnacentral:rRNA from 1 species